rnacentral:snoRNA from 1 species
GAUCGCUCUCCAGCUCCAUGCCAACGUAAAAAGUCGGUGUGGCGUUUUCAUGAGCGGAAAUUGUCAUUGUUCCAAAAACAAUUGCUGGUUUCUUGUAAGCCAAUGAUCACCUGAUGGUUCAGACAGAU